AGAGUUUGAUCCUGGCUCAGAACUAACGCUGGCGGCGCGUCUUAAACAUGCAAGUCGAACGGUAUUCCUUGAGCUUGCUUAGGGAAGAGAGUGGCGAACGGGUGAGUAACACGUGAAUAAUCUGCCUUUGGGUUCGGGAUAACUGUCCGAAAGGAUAGCUAAUACCGGAUAAGAUGGCAGCUGCACAGGCAGCAGCCAUUAAAGAUGGGGACCGCAAGGCCUAUCGCCUGAAGAUGAGUUCGCGGCUGAUUAGCUAGUUGGUAUGGUAAAGGCUUACCAAGGCAACGAUCAGUAGCCGGCCUGAGAGGGUGAACGGCCACAUUGGGACUGAGAUACGGCCCAGACUCCUACGGGAGGCAGCAGUUGAGAAUCUUGCACAAUGGGGGGAACCCUGAUGCAGCGACGCCGCGUGGAUGAUGAAGGCCUUCGGGUUGUAAAGUCCGAUAAGCAGGGAAGAAUAAGUGAGGGGUAAUAUUCCUCAUGAUGACGGUACCUGCCUAAAGCCCCGGCUAACUACGUGCCAGCAGCCGCGGUAAUACGUAUGGGGCGAGCGUUGUUCGGAAUUAUUGGGUGUAAAGGGCGUCUAGGCGGGAGAUUAAGUUAGAUGUGAAAGGCGUGGGCUUAACCCGCGAAUUGCAUCUAAAACUGGUUUUCUUGAGUUCGGGAGAGGAGAGCGGAAUUCUUGGUGUAGCGGUGAAAUGCGUAGAUAUCAAGAAGAACACCAGUGGCGAAGGCGGCUCUCUGGCCUAGAACUGACGCUGAAGCGCGAAAGCGUGGGUAGCGAACGGGGUUAGAUACCCUGGUAGUCCACGCCG
rnacentral:rRNA from 1 species